GAUAUGACUCUGUUAAAUGAUUAAAUAUAUAUAUAUAAUUAAAUGUGAUAUAAAAGUCCCUCAUUCACAUUCUCUCCUCUCCCUCAAUUUCUCCGUCCCUCGUAAUGGAACUCUCGCAAUCCUCGUCGGCGGCGACGAAAAAACCGUAUGGAAACCCCUCUGUUCGCAUUGCUGACGAUCCAGACUAUCAUCCCUUCCACGAUGGUGGGGCUGGUGGAGGAGAGGAUAUUCGCCCACAAGUCCAGCCUCGAUGUGGAUCUUUUCCUUGACGCGAUCAAAACUGGUGUCGUUGAGUCGAAGUCGCUGGAUUUAUACGACAGUGGAAUUUUUAAGAGGGAUUUGGAACCGGGCCCCCUGGGAGGAGAUUCUCUCGCCAAAGGCCGAUUUUGUGCGAAAGCUUGAAGAAGGGCGAGGAAGUGGCUCUCCAUUCCCUAGAGCGAUUGAAGCCUUCAAGAUGCUCCGAACUGGGUCUUCUGGUUUCUGACCAUUCAAGCCUCAUUUCUUGCUGGCGUUGCGCUGCUCGAUCUUGCGCUUUCAUGCUUUAUUUUCGAUUUCUUCCCAAACGUAGUGUGAUUAGUAUGGUUUCCAGCAGAGCGUUGGAGGCAAUUGGAAAGUUAAAAUGUACAUGUACAUCUGUUAUUUGAAAGAAUUUUAGUUUAUAAGUUCCCUUGCGCGAAAUAAUAGCAUUGAGAUAUUUUAAGUCUCAUGAUCUUAUUCUGUAUAAGCUUAUGAAAAUCAGAAGAUAUAUAUGAUUGUGUA